GUGUUUGCUUUAGUGACACAUAUGCUAACAUUAGAACAAUAUAGAGAAAUCUGGCAAGGGUCCUGUGAAAAGAUAAAAUGCAAAUUUGUAAAGCAUUCCAUAUAUUU